UCCUCUCAACAACCCAAUGAGGUGUGCAC
rnacentral:piRNA from 1 species